GUUCCCUGGUCCAGGCAGCGCUGACUCAGCCGGCCUCGGUGUCAGCGAACCCGGGAGAAACCGUCCGGAUCACCUGCUCCGGGCUUAGCAGCAGCUAUGGUUACGCUAGCUGGUUCCAACAGAAGGUACCUGGCAGUGCCCCUGUCACUGUGAUCUAUAGUAACACCAAGAGACCCUCAGACAUCCCUGCACGAUUCUCUGGAUCCACGUCUGGCUCCACAGCCACGUUAACCAUCACUGGGGUCCAAGCCGAGGACGAGGCCGUCUAUUACUGUGGUGGCUGGGACAGCAGCAGCAGUGCUGGGCAGG